rnacentral:rRNA from 1 species
GUUUGAUCCUGGCUCAGAACGAACGCUGGCGGCACGCCUAACACAUGCAAGUCGAGCGCACCUUCGGGUGAGCGGCGGACGGGUUAGUAACGCGUGGGAACAUACCCUUCUNUAAGGAAUAGCCACUGGAAACGGUGAGUAAUACCUUAUACGCCCUUCGGGGGAAAGAUUUAUCGGAGAUGGAUUGGCCCGCGUUAGAUUAGAUAGUUGGUGGGGUAAUGGCCUACCAAGUCUACGAUCUAUAGCUGGUUUUAGAGGAUGAUCAGCAACACUGGGACUGAGACACGGCCCAGACUCCUACGGGAGGCAGCAGUGGGGAAUCUUAGACAAUGGGCGCAAGCCUGAUCUAGCGAUGCCGCGUGUGUGAUGAAGGUCUUAGGAUCGUAAAGCACUUUCACCNGGGAUGAUAAUGACNGUACCUGGAAAAGAAACCCCGGCUAACUCCGUGCCAGCAGCCGCGGUAAUAAGG